rnacentral:rRNA from 1 species
AGAGUUUGAUCAUGGCUCAGAUUGAACGCUGGCGGCAGGCCUAACACAUGCAAGUCGAACGGUAGCACAGAGGAGCUUGCUCCUUGGGUGACGAGUGGCGGACGGGUGAGUAAUGUCUGGGAAACUGCCCGAUGGAGGGGGAUAACUACUGGAAACGGUAGCUAAUACCGCAUAACGUCGCAAGACCAAAGAGGGGGACCUUCGGGCCUCUUGCCAUCGGAUGUGCCCAGAUGGGAUUAGCUAGUAGGUGGGGUAACGGCUCACCUAGGCGACGAUCCCUAGCUGGUCUGAGAGGAUGACCAGCCACACUGGAACUGAGACACGGUCCAGACUCCUACGGGAGGCAGCAGUGGGGAAUAUUGCACAAUGGGCGAAAGCCUGAUGCAGCGACGCCGCGUGAGUGAAGAAGUAUUUCGGUAUGUAAAGCUCUAUCAGCAGGGAAGAAAAUGACGGUACCUGACUAAGAAGCCCCGGCUAACUACGUGCCAGCAGCCGCGGUAAUACGUAGGGGGCAAGCGUUAUCCGGAUUUACUGGGUGUAAAGGGAGCGUAGACGGCAUGGCAAGCCAGAUGUGAAAGCCCGGGGCUCAACCCCGGGACUGCAUUUGGAACUGUCAGGCUAGAGUGUCGGAGAGGAAAGCGGAAUUCCUAGUGUAGCGGUGAAAUGCGUAGAUAUUAGGAGGAACACCAGUGGCGAAGGCGGCUUACUGGACGGUAACUGACGUUGAGGCUCGAAAGCGUGGGGAGCAAACAGGAUUAGAUACCCUGGUAGUCCACGCCGUAAACGAUGUCGACUUGGAGGUUGUGCCCUUGAGGCGUGGCUUCCGGAGCUAACGCGUUAAGUCGACCGCCUGGGGAGUACGGCCGCAAGGUUAAAACUCAAAUGAAUUGACG